rnacentral:rRNA from 1 species
UACGGGGGGAGCAAGCAUUACUCUAAAUGAUUGGGCGUAAAGAGUAUUUAGAUUGAAUUUUUUAACUAGAAAAGACAAAAAAAGCUUAACUUCUUUGUCUUUUCUAACUUUUGGUUCUUGAGUUGUUUAAAUGAAAGUAGUAUGUUUUAGUUAGGUGUAGCAACCGAUAAAAUAAAAUAGACUGUCUGUAGGCGAAAGCAACUUUCUAUAGAUAACUGACGUUGAAAAUACGAAGGCGUAGGGAGCAAAUUGGAUUUGGUACCCAAGUAGUCUAUGCUGUAAACUAUGAACUUUAAAUAAAAUGAAAUAAAAUUUUUCGUUUUAUUUAAGCUAACGCGUAAAAGUUCCGCCUGGGGAUUACGGUCGCAAGAUUAAAAACUC